AGUUUGAAAGAUCAAGUUUUAAAAUUCCUACAAGCCAAAGCAGAAGAGAGAAAAAGGUCUAAUUUUUUUUUCCUCCCCUGUAAAGGAGGCUGAUAGUUAUUAUUCAAAACGUCAAGGGACGUACUUUUUUGAUUUUAUGCAUAAAAGUUUUGGCACCAUUUUUCUGCUGCUGUUCCUUUGUCUGCUACCCAAUAUAGUCUUGGUUUCAUAUUGUUAUUCAGAUUUUAGGAACAAUUUGCAGUCAGAUUCUUUAACGGUUUUGGAUCCAGGUAUAACUUUCGAAGGACUAUCGAUCAUCUUUGUUCCUAUUGUAGUAAAAAUCACAACCUAAUUUUGUGCAACUAUGCUUAAUAUAGAGCUAUUUAUCCUUUGUUUGUUCAAUUUGUUUUUGAGUUUAACUGAGCUUGAUUCUUUGUGGAAAACAGUCUUAAUUUUUCUUUUUGUUUAAAUUUUGUAAUUUUAUUUUUAUUCAUGAAAAUCUAAAUUUCAUGAAUUUCUGAAUUUCUAUUCUUUUAUUGUUAUGUAUUUUCUCAUUUAAAGACAUUGUUGGAUUGCCUGGUUUUGCUUUGCCAAGAGAUAAUUUAUUAUUCAUUUAACACUUACUCUAAAAACAUAGCUGCCAAGUAGAGGAAUCAAUAUUGAUAUUUCUUUUUUAUAUAUAUAUAUAUAUUCUGCUCUCUGUCUGUUCUCAUGACAAUGAACUGCAAACAUAAUUGAAACUGUAAUGGUGUAAUGAUGCGUAACCCACAACAGAACAUUAACAUUUAUCUACUUUAUUUGAUAGCGUUUUUAACCUUUGUUAUUCAUGUAUGGUAAAGGUUUCUGAAAUUUGUUUCAAUUUGUUUUCUUUGAUCUUAUUUUGAUUUCCAGUUUUACAUCUGUACUUGAUAGAUGAUAGUUUUAAAGUACAGUUAUGGUGUCAAGAACUCGAAGAGUAAAAUCGAAAAGUUCUUUCAUUCAUUGCUGAAAUUACUCAAAUUAGUGAUACUUGACAUGUUGUGACUAUUGGCUAUUGCAGUAACAAUGAAUUGUGGAAUAGAAGAAGACUUCGUUUUUCUGGU